rnacentral:rRNA from 1 species
UUAAAUUGAAGAGUUUGAUCAUGGCUCAGAUUGAACGCUGGCGGCAGGCCUAACACAUGCAAGUCGAACGGUAACAGGAAGCAGCUUGCUGCUUUGCUGACGAGUGGCGGACGGGUGAGUAAUGUCUGGGAAACUGCCUGAUGGAGGGGGAUAACUACUGGAAACGGUGGCUAAUACCGCAUAACGUCGCAAGACCAAA